rnacentral:lncRNA from 1 species
GCUCCUGCUCCAGCGGCACAAUGUGAUCCACCAGCUAGGAGGGACGCCAAUAAGGCGUCCGAUAAGAUAAGUCUUAUAAAAUAUAUAGAUGUAUGAUAAUUGAGACUGAGCUAACAGAUGAGAAUCCUAGUCAUUGGCCAAGCAGCAAUGUAACUAAUACAAGUCUGUGUAUUCAUUUGGGCCUAACUCAGGCGGGCGGCUGGCAUAAAGCUCACACGUGGCAGUGGGGCUCAGGCGGCAUUUGGCGGAAAGAUUUAUCAUAACAUCUAUGUACCUACUUAUCUAUCAUCGCUAUAUAUAUAUAUCAUCUAUAUCAUCUAUCUAUCUACCUAUCUAUGUCUAUCUAUCUAUCCAUGUCUAUCUAUCUAUCUAUCUAUCUAUCUAUCUAUCUAUCUAUCUGCUUUUGAGAUGUAGAAGAGAGGGGAGAAGAGAAAAGCACAAGAGAGCUGCUUGGGGACCAAACCAGGAGAUGGCCACCAUUGUGUCAUCUGCAAGCGUGGGGCAUCGUGUGAUCUCCUCUACAGUGCAUUGCAAACCCUUUAGGGGCUACCCUUUGUCUGCUCCCUGUGAAACACCCCCGCCCCAGCCUGCUGUCUAUCAGGUAGAAUUUCCUGCACACUGGAUCCAACAUUCAGAGAGGUGGAAAGGCCACAUAUUUUAAUUAUCCUCUGUUAAGCAAUUUCCCUCCCUAUCAAGUCCAUUUUAUGCAUGCUGCUCACGGGUUUCAGUAGUCAUAAUGACUCUUUUGUUUUUCAGGAGGGAAUGUCAAAAUUAAGAGAACUGUAAAACCAUUCACCACCCAUUAUUUUUAUAAUUAGUAGGGGAUGGGCUGAGGGCAAGAUCAAGCCUCCAUAUUUUAGCAUCUUUUCUUUGGAUUUUUUUUUUUUUUUUCAGAUGACAAGGCUGCAUCGAGUCUCAUCUGACAAGCUAUUGUCAGGCAGAUGUCUUCAUUAAGUCUGUGUAGGAAGACGAGCACAUCAAAGGGAAGAAGCCAGCAUUUUCCUUCUGGAACUCUGCAUAGGAAUCAUAUAUUUUGGAAGAUGAUCUGUGUCUAAGAUGAACUAAAACAAAGCACUUCAGCAGUCCCUGAGGCAGAGACUCUUACCUCAGCAGGCCAGAGAAAGUAGAGCCCAGGAUCGACCAACAGAGCAGACCCUGGAGACCAAACCAGAGACGCAGCGGUCUGUCAAAUUCUUGGUCUGUUAAUUGACUUCAAUAUUCUGAUAACUAGGUUUGCUUGCUAUCUUGAUUAUUUAUUUAUUUUACUUUCUCCUUCCAACUUUCUGUGUAGAUAAGGGUGACCUUGAACUCCUGCCUCCCCUGUACCUCUCAAGGUUUUCAUCACCUUGUGUGACAAGACCCAGAGUUUAGUUUUUGGUCCUGGGGAUCAAACCCAGGGCCUCACAGAUGCUGGAAAAAAAUAUGUCACAGCCUUCCCUUUUAAAAAUAAAAUUCAGUUUAUCUUUAUUACGUAUAUGUAUGUGGGUCUCUGUGUGGGUGUUUGAAUGGCAGUGCAGGGGGUGGGGAGGCAUCACAUCCCUUGGAACUGGAGUUACAGGUGGUUAUGAGCUGCCCCAUGUGGAUGCCAGGACUUGAACUCAGGUCCUCCAAAGAGCAGUAUGUGUUUCUAACCUGUGAGCCAUCUUCUCUCCAGCCUCAGCCCUCACAUGGUUGACAACAAACGUCACAGGAUGGAAUGAUGCCAUAAUAAUUAUAACGCAUAUGGCCAGCGUAACAGCAACAACUACAAAAUGUAUCACGUGACCAGAGUUAGGAAAGUAGAGCUUGCUCUUGCCAUCUCACCUGGUACUUCUCCCUCACCCAUCUAGUGCCCUUUCCCUCUCUUGUGCUAGAGACAGAACCGGGAACUUACACAAGCCGGCAAAUGCUCUCAGACACACAAACAAAACAAAAUAAAGGAGCCAGCGAGAGGAGGCCCAGCAUUUUAGUCUCCCUGACCCCUGAUUGUGGAUACAAAGUGACUAGCAGUCUUCCUCUUGUGAAAAGUGGGGCUGUGCCUCACCCUCCAAAUCCCCAACUCACCCAAGGUCCCUGUGAUGACUGUCAUUGGUCUUAAACCCUGAGCCAAAGUAAACCUCUCCAUCUCUGGUUGAUGUUGUCUCUUAUUUUGUCAGAGCUACAAGAGGAAGUACCUAAUUGCAAAAUUUGCUACAUUUUAUUCUUUUGAUUGGCAACCGUUUUUCUGGGAAGGUUCUCUAUUAUACGGAGAACUACAUAGACUUUCAAUUAAUUACCAUGCUUCACUCAGAAAUCUAGAAUCUAUUGGUGGUGACGGCUGUCCCAGUUAUGAUUCCUACCGUAUGGAAGCUUUCCUCCCCCCUGCCUUCUCCCCUCUCUUCCUUUCUCCCCUUCUCUCUUCCUCAUACGCUUUCUAUCUUAAUAUGAAGUCAUGUGUUAUUUCUUUCAGUGUGUUUGCAGUUAAUACUUUUUUUCUUCUGAGCAUAUUCCCACAUUUGGCCACAUAAUACCUUCUCAAGCUGGCUUCUGUGUUCCUUUGAUCACCAUGUUGUUUUGAACCACUUUCUGACUCUCUGCAUCAGUAAGAUAUUCCAGGUUCUACCCUUUCUAACUUCUGGUUGGAGUGGGCCAUUGCCCAAGAGCGUGGGAUACUACGUUCAGAGGCUUAAACUUUGAUGGGUUCUCAUUGCUACUGGGUGGAUUACGUCUAGUAGUUCCCAGGGUGUGCACACACAUUCAUCCCUUCCUUGUUUCUUCAUCUCUCUUGCUCAUUCACAAUAAAUACCAAAAACCUCAUAGUCAAUAUUUAACCACCGUCCAUUGUCUUCAGAAUGAAGGCAUGGUGACAAAAAUAUCUUGUUCAUAAAUUACUUGGGUCACCUCUUUCCUCCUUUACACCCUCUGGUGUGCUUAUAUUAUCCUUUUGAAAUGGAGUAAGGUUCAUUUGUUUUAGUUUGAGUUCCCUUUACGGGAUAAAAUAUAUUCAUUGUUAUUUUAUGACUGUUAAAACACUGCUGCGGUUCAGAAGUCAAAGUGAUAAAAGUGACAGAAAAUAACACUGCUCCCAACUUCUUCAUCUCAUUUCUACCUCAAAAGGAUUUUUCAAAAGUUUAAAGUGAGCAGGCUCCCUUUUGUUUCAAACUCUGUAAUUACUUCCUUCCCCGAUCCUGGCGUGAUCUGACCUGCCUAAUUUCUAGUUUCCUCCUGUGCAGGGCCCCUCCUGCUCCCUCUUCCAACCAGAUGCAUUUCCUUAGUGCUUUGAAGAGCUGUGCUUCUUGCUUUCUAAGACAACCUCACACACUCUACCCCAAUCUGAGUUCAUUUUCUUUGGCUGUAACAAAACCCUUGAGACUGGAUACUGUGUAACAAAUGGAGCUGUUGCUGUGUGUGUGUGUGUGUGUGUGUGUGUGUGUGUGUGACAGAGUGAGGUUUUCAUCCCACAGUGGAGACAGAGUCUACAUAGUGUGGUCAUUUCAUGAACAAAAUAACAAGAAAAAGCUGGAAAAAGGGCUUAGUGGUUGAGAGCACUUAGCGCUCUAACAGAGGACCAAUGAUGGGGUGUCAGUACAAACAUCAGGAGGCUCAGAGCCACCCCUAUAUCCAGCUAGCUCCGAGGAAUCUGAUGCCUUCUUCUGGCCUCUGAUAACACUGCACAUACAUGCACAUUCACUCACGCAGACACACAUACACAGCAUUAUUAAAAAUAAUAAACACAAAUAAAUAAGCCCAGAGCUGGGCAUGGUGGUUUCCUCAUCGCUGUAACUAUUUCGGAGUCUGAUGUGGAAUUCCUUUACACUGCGUGGAUAUGCGUUGCUGUGAUUGGUUUAAUGACGAAGCUGACUGGCUGACAGCGGGAACGGAGAAAGCGAGGCGGGAAGAAGCAGGGCAGAGUCUGGAGUCCUGAGAGAUGCAGAGAGGAGCAGGAUGGGCAUGCCAUAUUGACAAAAGGUAACAAGCCAUGUGGCAAAGCAUAGAUAGAUAAGAAGUAUGAGUUAGUUUAAAUGUAACAGUCAGCUAGUAACAAGCCCGAGUUAUUGGCCAAGCAUUUAUAAUUCAUAUUAAGCCCCUGUGUGGUUAUUUGGGAACUGGAAGGCGGGAAAGCCAAGUCUGCCUUCAGUCUGAGGCAGAAGGAUGUCUCGGGAGUCUGAGAAUAGCUUGAGCAACACACUGAGACGCCCCCCCCCCAUAAUCAUCAGUUAAUUAUUCUUUAAAGAUAGAAACCUAGUUAGCUGAUGGUUUUAGAGGCUGGGAAGUUCAAUAUCGUGGUGCUAGUAAUUUCUGAAUAUCUUCAUGCUGAAUUAUAGCAUGGCGUUCUAAUAUGUAUCACAUGUAAUACAUGUUGGCAUAGUACAUACAUCACAUACUUGAGUAGGUGACCAACUAGAGAGAACUUGCUUUUAUGAUAAAGUAACUCCUGGGUAACCCAGUAAUCCAUCCAUGAGGACUGCUGCUUUGACCCAAUCACUUGACAAUAGUUCCAUCUCCAAAUACCACUCGCAUACUAAUUGACCUUAAGUUCUCAGCCCUUGAAAUCUGGGAGGACACACUGAAGCCAUAUCAAUCACCAGUCUGUAAUAGUUGU